UAUCCUCAUGUCCUUAAGAUGCAGCUACUUCAAAAUCUCAUGGUGAGUUGUUCUUAAAACAAAACGCAUUGUUCGAAGUAUGACAAAAUUAUUUAUCUGCAAGCCUGCCCAUAGCAGCUUACCUAAGAAAGACAAUAACAGCAACCCAAUCCUAAAGAACGUUCAUUUUUAGAGGCUCAUUGUCCCAAAUUGAGCAUAAAUAUCUGCGAAUCCAAGUUGUAGCUGCCAAGCUUCUCUUGCUGGAGACGGUGAAGAUGGUUUGCAAUCGGUUUUUUUUCGUCGCACUAGCCAUGUUUUCUCUUUUGUCCCCAUUGCAGCUGGGGGGUCCCACAUGUGCUCAUGCAGGUUAUGACUGGCGAGGUUUUUAUCCUUCAAACCAGUGGCAGAAACAAGUAACGCGUUACACUACUCGUCCGACUACUCGUCCGACUACUCGUCCGACUACUUGCCGGCCAUAUACGCCCUCAAAGUCUGGAGGCGGUAUGUGGGGAUGAGGCCACGGAAGUUCUUCAUGAGAUUUACUAUGGAGUGCUGUGCAACAAAGUUGAAGUGCCAAACAAAGACGAUAUCAAACAUU